AGGUCACUCAAAUGGCAGAUACUG
rnacentral:siRNA from 1 species